ACAUGUUGCUGGGCCAAUGAGAGGGGGAACUUACUGCAUCUAAUCUGUGUCUGUAGCCACUAUACUGAAUUGAAUCGCUUUUUGUUCUGGCUUGCACAAAACCAACCCCCAGCAUGCCUGGGAAUCUCCAACAGCCUUUACCAUUGCAGGGCUGAGACUGAGCCUUCCCACCUGAGCAACAGCCACACUGUAUCACAAACUGUAACACUCUGUAGUGGAGCAAUACCAGCUACUUCUGAGCUCUUCUUCAGCUUCACUACAUUGCCCAGCAAGAGAUGCAACUAUAUGCACAUGUCAACUCAGGACCCCCCAGUGGUUUUCUGGGUCUCAGUUUUGCUGCAGCUGAUAGCAUCCUGGUUUAUUACAAACUGGCUCCAAAGCCUUGCCUACUGCCAGUGGUUCCCUAGUCCUGUCCCAUUUGGGACCAUAAGUUCAGAUUGUUGUUCACUGUUCUGCCAAGCUAUUUAUGGAAUUUCGUGAUGCAGAAAUUCAGCUGUAAGUAUUGCAUGCUCAAACAAUUGAACCUAUCCCACCUCUUCCCACACCAAUCCUGCUCAUAAUUUUCAAUACUCUUAGUGGAGGAGCUGCCCACAUCUGAGAGACACAGAGCCAGUCUGCAUAGGGAGACCAACUGACUGAGGCAGUUGCCUUCUUCUCCAUUUGGAUAUGUCUCUCCACAGAAGUAAGCUGAAUUUUAAAAUCAGUGGCCUGCCGUGCUCCCACCACCUCCAGCAGAGCCUGUGGUUCCUACUGAAGCCCUACUUCUCAUCUAGCUCUGCUUCUUGCUUUGGUUGGCACUGACAAAAGUGGCAGCAUCUUCAGAGAAGAAAAGGCUGGAAAAAUCAUCUGCAGGAAAAAACAUUUUUUUAACUUGAAAUUGUUACUAGCUCCUUCAAAUGUAAGUAGCAGUUCUAAUAUACUCUGUUUUCCUGCUGAUUAAUUUAUGUCUGUUUUUUUUUUUUUUUAGUAUGAAGUCAUAUUUAUUUCAAAUUCACCAGCAUAAAGAAUUGUUACAAGCUCCAGAGAUCAAGAUUCUAGUAUUACAAAAACAUAGCUAGACACAGUCCUUUCCUGUGCACUUACUGUCAAAAUAGACGAGACAGAAAUGGAGAUGAUGAUGAAGAAGAGCUGAAGUGACUUACUGAAAGUCAUGUAAUUGUCCCCUCUCACAGGUUCCAGUGCAGGGAAAAAGCUGCUGACUGGGACUGCACAUGGAUUAGCUUACCCUACAGUUAGCUUGGCCUUUCCAGUUCAAGAAAAAUGUUCCCCAGGGAGAAAAACAAAUGGUUUAUAUUCAAACAUGGAAUAUCCUGAGUAAUAAUUUUAUGAUUUUUAGCAUCAUUAGCAUGACAAAAGAUUUUGUGAUGAAUAGUUGUGGUUGCCACAUCCUUGUUAGCAAUCUGUACUAACACCCAAGUAAAAUACUAGAUGAAGGCUGCUAAGUAUGAUCUUUUUCUAAAAAAAAGUGUACAACUAUGACAUAAUUUGAGACUCUUGUUUGACAGCCCAGUUAUAUUCUGGCCCUGUGCCAAAUUCCCCACUCAGCCUUGAGUGUUCCUUUGUUGAGAACAUUUGUGAAGAUUCCUCAUGCUAAUCCACUGAAAAGAUAGCUGGUGCUCUGAUCCCUGAAACCACUUGAGGUUUGGUCAGAAAAUAAGUCUGACUUCAGAGUUCCCAGUAUUGACACUAAAAGAUUGUGGCACCUCUUCUGUUGGUUCAUAUUUGUUUAAAAAAAAAAUGUAAAUGGAUUAAUUUUGUAGCAGCAGGCUUUAUGCCAAUUCAAGGGCCUAGCUUCAUGCCAGACCUUGUAUUAUCCAUCCUUCAGUGGUCAACAUAAAAUCAGGAAAAGCUAUGAACUGGCUCUGGCAGAGUCAGCAGGCCCAUACUGGCAUGGACCAGAAUGUGUAGUCACCCAGCAGUGUACAGAUCUGGCAUGAGCCAUGGUGGCACUGCAGCCCAAGGGUAGACAGGGUAGUUUGGUUUGGGUUUGUGGGGUUUUUUUUAUGGCUAGUCACAUGGCAAACUGACAAAAAGCCUCUUAGUCCAGGAAGCCCUAAUAAUUAUGUCUCUGUGCUUGGCUAACAAAGUUGUGUUGUUUUCAGGGAGGAUGAGCUAUGGGAGAGGCCUCACAUCUGCUUGCAAAACACCAAAUGGACCUACCCUGGGAGCACAGCCUGUGUGUUGCUUUGCUGCGUGGCCAAGCACUAGGGUUGGACUAGAUGACCUUUGAAAGUCCCUUCCAACCCAAACUAUUCUAUGUUUCUAUGAAGUUUGGCCUUUGCGCUUCUUUCCCCUCAUCUUGGGUGAAGGGCAUGAGUCAGUCAUCAUUCAUUGCCUUUGGGAUACCAGAGGUGGCUUUGGCCUCUCCGCUGGUGCAGAUGGGGCUUUUACUGUCCUAUCAACCAUUAAAGCAGUAUCUGCAGCCAUCAUUUCUGGUUGUUGAAUCACAAUGUAAGAGUACAGUGCAGGGCACUUGGUUGCCAAAGUCAUCCGCUUCUGAGCUGAAACUGAAACACCAAUUGCUAGGCAUUAACUGCUGUUGGCUUAACACUUCUUGAGUCAAUUCACAUUUCUGUAAGUAGUUUUAUAUACUACUCCCUUGCAAUCCCCAUAGGUGUUCAUAAGCAGGAUUUGAGGAGAAAAGUUUCAUUGUUACUAUUAGCAUUAUCAUUACAGUUGCUAAUUGCCUGUAGAGGCAAUUUAAUCCAGCCCAGGUUGCAAUGCGUUAGAUCGGGACCUGGAAGGUUCCCAGCAUGGUAGCCAGCUGCUGUGGAGGAGGGAAGAUGGAUUUCCAGUGCAGCCUGGGGCAGAUCACUUCAGCUCUUUUCCCAGGUGGGUCUGACACCCAGAAGCAGCCUGUUUGCUCUGUGUUUCUCCAGAUGGUUGCCCUGCUGCAGAUGUCCAGCCUCAACUUUUUCUUCCUCUAUCUGUUGCUACUGUAAAUAAAGAAAUGGAUAACAUCAACAAAAUUUUCAUUAUUUAUCAGAAAAUAAAUAUCUUAUUUCAAGUCUA